rnacentral:rRNA from 1 species
GAAUACGUCCCGGGCUACACGCGAGCUACAAUGGUUGGUACAAUGGGUAUCUACCCCGAAAGGGGACGGGAAUCUCCUAAAACCAAUCUUAGUUCGGAUUGAGGGCUGCAACUCGCCCUCAUGAAGCUGGAAUCCGUAGUAAUCGCGUUUCAACAGAACGCGGUGAAUACGUCCCUGCUCCUU